GUUAUAGGAAUAUAAUGACAAGCAAGACUAGCUAAUAGGAAAGCAACGUGAACAGCUAAUAGGAAAAAGUAUCGUGAACAGCCUGGCAGCAGCCAUUCAUACAGGCUGGCAAGCAAGCAUGCUUUCCUAAAGCCUAUCAACAACAAAAAAGCAAUCUUGGCAUAAAUUGGAAAAUUUGAAGCUAAAGCAUCCAAUAGAAAAUAAAACCGUUUUACGCUUUACUAUCACAACUAAAAUGAUCUCAACCAAAAUCAACAUCCACACAAACAAAAUAAAAUUUCAUCUUUUAAAUUUAAAUUUUAGCUUCCAAUCUAAGCAGCAAACAUGAAGAAAAUGAGAAGAUACAUGCCUUUUCAGAUACCGAUGAAGACAGAGACGGUGGUUCGCGGUGGAAGUUGAAACAACGUUAAAAGAGGAACAGAUGUACCAAUAAGCAUUGCUUGUGCAUCAAUGGGAGUCAUCAUCAACAUAGCAGGGUUUGGCAGUGGACAAAGUCAACAUAGCAUGGCUUGAUCUGAUGUAAUUUAUUUUUGCCUUUAUUCUUAGUUUGUACUUUGAUUUGGUUUUAAAACUCUAAUUAGAUUUGAAAUUGUAAAUUUAUAAUACAAAAUAAAAUUAUUUAUUGUAAUUAUUUUA